rnacentral:rRNA from 1 species
GACGAACCACACAAACGUUAUUCGGAAUUAAUGGGCGUAAAGGGCGCGUAGGCGGCCUCUUAAGUCGAACGUGAAAUCCCCGGGCUCAACCCGGGAACUGCGUCCGAUACUGGGAGGCUUGAAUCCGGGAGAGGGAUGUGGAAUUCCAGGUGUAGCGGUGAAAUGCGUAGAUAUCUGGAGGAACACCGGUGGCGAAGGCGGCAUCCUGGACCGGUAUUGACGCUGAGGCGCGAAAGCCAGGGGAGCAAACGGG